UCCCACAGCUAUGACCUCAGUUUCCACA
rnacentral:piRNA from 1 species